GUGCUGUGUUAGCAAGAUGCCUGGAAUCUCCUUUUUGGGUCCUCCCACACCUUGAAUGGUCCAAGGAUCCCUAGGUCAUCUUCAACCCACAGGUAGGGGUGGGGCCUGUUCCCCCUAAACUUCACUGCUGCCAUGGCCGCUUACUACCACAUGGGGUCGCUGUUGAAGAGGGCUCUCCAACAGUCCUGUGGACGUUUGUCCACUUUGCAAUGACGCCUGAGCUUGUUGGACCUUUGCCUGGGUCUUGGAGGUCACCCACACUUGGGACUCAAGUUUAUAGCUCUCGUGGGUCACUCUUAAACACUCAGAACAGAAUGGAAAGUCACCUACCCACCUGAGUCCUGAUCCCAGCCCCUCACAGGAGGCCCCUGGGAGGACUGGAUCGUAGCACUGCCCCUAGGGUGACAGAGAGGGAACUGGAGCCCCAAAGAGUAAUUUUUCCAAAAUCGCUUGGCCAGGGGCACCCAAUUCAAGCUGAACGCCCCAUCCAGUCCUCUCAGCACUUUUGUUUUUAGAGGCUGCCAGUGAAACUCCUGGGUUUCCCAGGUGUCUCAGUGGUAAAGAAUCUACCUGCCAAGCAGGAGACAGACUCAAUCCCCGGGUCAGGAAGAUCCCCUGGAGAGAAGAAUGGCAACCAGUAUUCUUGCCUGGGAAAUUUUACGGACAGAGGAGCCUGGCAGGCUACAGUUAGUGGGGUCACAAAAGAGUAGGACACGACUUAGCAACUAAACAACAAAAAGUGAAACUCCUGUUUCUCAGCCCGUGAGACUCUGCAGGAAAUGACCCCUGUCUUCCUCCCGGGCUUCAUCUCACUUCCUCACCCACAUUCAAAAUCCUUUCCCACCUACCUUUGCACCUGCCUCCCUCUCCCUAAAGAUUCCCCCCACAUCUCCCCCAUCACUCAAGUCUCUGCUCAGUGGGCCCCUUUCAAGCUCCUCCUCAACAAAGCCCUUGUCACCAUGAGACAUUAUCCUGUCCUGUCCACUCUGCAGGACACCACUCUGAUCCUGGCCACCUCUUCUCCUCCGCUGUCCCCCCGGCCACUCACUACUAUGUUGUCCCCCAGACUCAGCCCCGUGAACAUUCUCUGUGGUGAGACCAGCCUGGGCACUGAGGGCUGUGUGGCAGCUCUGGCCUCUGUCCACCCCACCCCUCCCCUGGCCCCAGCUCCUCUCGUCUCAGAUCUGCCCAGCACACUCCAGCCUGGAUGGAUGGUUCCAAAACUCCCGCUGGUGUCCUCUGCCAGAAUCAAGUUCCAAAUGCCGGCAGGCCUCAGUUUCCCUGCUGUGCCUGGCAUAACACUACAUGUGGGGGACAUACAGGACACAAAGCAGAUGCCCCCCUGGUGUCAGUGUUCCAGUGGGGGUGGGACAGGGUCAGGUGAGGUUACACCAGACAGGGGACACAGUUCAGCUGUCUGGACUGAGACUGGGGCCAGAGGAGGCUGCUGGGACAAAGAUGCACUAGGAGCUGGAGGAGUCCAGCAGGUAAAAGCUGGAGGCUUCGACAGCAAGUGCAAAGGUCCUGUGGUGGGCUCUGGUGUGGCCUUCCAGACCAUGGUGACAGCUUUGGCUUUUUCCUCAUGGAUGAUGGGGAGCCACAGAAGGUUCUGAGCUGGGGGAGCAGGGAAGCCCACUGAUGUCAAACAGGGCCCUCUGGCUGUAAGAUGCAGACCAUGGACCACCAGAGGACAGGGGCAGAAGCAGCGAAGGGGCCACUGCAAGGGUCCAGGAGAGAGGAAGGCAAUGCUGCACCAGGGCCGGAAACAGAGGAGGGGCCAGGGAGUGGGCUGACAAGAGGCAGGCUUAGCAGGAGUUGCACACGAGGGUGAGGGAGGAGUUCGGAGUGACCAGAGGGAGCCUGGCUCGCCUACCGGGCAGGAGGCAAAUGGGGGAGAUGGCACAGAUGCACAAGCUCUGCAAAGGUCCAGGAGGACAAGCAACCUGGUGCCUGGAGAAUGACUGUCCCGAAAUAGGCCAACCUCGACCUGCGAGCUCUUCUCAGACUGGCUUCCCCACCAGGAGCACCCACAUUUCCCCAGAUCACCAGGAGGAACCCCUCCCUUCAGCUGCUCUUGGUGCCUCCUACCUGUUCAGCCCUCCCCUCCCGUCCCCCAGGGCAUCGACCGCACUGUGCCAAGCUCACCAGGCAGUGGGCGUCUCUGCACUGUACCCCUCCCCCCACCCAGACUGUGCUCACAGCNNNNNNNNNNNNNNNNNNNNNNNNNNNNNNNNNNNNNNNNNNNNNNNNNNNNNNNNNNNNNNNNNNNNNNNNNNNNNNNNNNNNNNNNNNNNNNNNNNNCACCCAGACUGUGCUCACAGCAUGCUCACUGGUCUCUGCUGCCCCCUCAGCCCCGCCACCUCCUACGCUCACCUGCCACCCUGCCUCCCCUCACCAGCCUCUCCAGCCACCUGGGCUUUGGCACCUGCUGCUCCUCUGCCUGGAACCCAGGCCUCCUCCUCCAUCACCUGGUAAUACAUCCUGACCGGUAUAUGACAUCACUGCAUUUGCAUGUUUCCUGCGUCCCCCUCACUGCUUUGCAUGCUUGCUGUGUGUCCCUACUAGACUCUAACCCCCCCGGGCAGGACUGCAUGCUUUGUUUAUGACUACUCCCAGUGCUUUGCAUGGGACCUGGCAUACAACAGUUUUUUGAAAUGAAUGAAUGAAUGAAUGAAUGAGGGAGCAAUUGAGGGGAUGAGCAAAUGAACCUCCCUUUCCAGCCUUCACACUCCUUCCAGAAGGCCUCCAUGAUCUCCCACAGCUGACGGGGCGGUGGAAGAGGCUGGGACUCCCCCGAGAUGGGACCCCCUUACUCACACACCCUAGACAUCUCUUCUCCACCCUGACUUGUGUCUGGCCACCAGUGCCCCAAGGGUGGGUGGCCUGGAUACCUGCUUCUCAGCUCUCUUAGCAGGUGCCACCCAGGUUCCGCCAGCAGUGCCCAGCUUUCCCUUCCAUGAGGCUCCAGUGGCGCUAUCAAUGACAACACCCUACCCAACCCCCUGACCUCUGCCCCUAGGGCCCUGCUCCCAGCACAUCAACAAUGCUGAGCCUGGUUGCUGUGGGGGUCGGAGGCGCCCCCUUUGAGGGGAAAAAAACCACAGACCCAUUUUUUCUUUAAAGAAAACAAGUUUUAUUUUUUAUAAUCAGAACAUUCUAAUAAAAAUAUUAUUAUAAUAUUAGCUACCUUUACUUUCUGGGCUUUGACUCUGCACCAGGCGUGCAGCAAAGCCCACGUACGUCAGCCCCGAGGCCUCCCGCGUCCCUGAGGUAGGUCUGAAGGAGCACCCCA
ensembl:lncRNA